GCUUGAAAAUUCAAGAUACAAGUUUAUAACUUAACAUGGAAUUAGAUGGAAUAAUUCAAGACAGACCAAAAAAGAAAUACUGGAAUCUUAGUGAACAAUCGAUCCUCCAAAAAUGCAGGAUCCGACACGCACCCGGAGAGUCCGAGAAACAUAAGUAUUUUUAACUAAAAUAAAAGGAAAAAACAAGAAUUCAUUACUAAAUUUAGUAAACAAAUUGAUAUGUGUAGGAGAAUGAUGAGAAAAAAACACAGUACCGGUGCUUUGUUGGCAGCUCCAAUGGUUGACACUGAGGUAGCCAUUAUCUUGACUACUGAGAUGACAACUUGAUCAAAGAAGCUAAAGACUAAGCUUUCUUGAUUUGCUAAAUAUAUUCAAAAAUUGGUUGAAGAAGAUAGUAUGUGAAGGGAUAAGCUUUAUAGUAGUACUAGUUGUGAGUGUAAGAAAAAUUAUGUGGAUUUGGCUUACGAUUUCUCAACGGCCACAAAUUGAAGAUUGGUUAUCUAGGUGGAGAUUAUGAAGGUGACUUGUAAUUUUUGGCAUGGGCAAUCAAUAUUUUUUUUUUUAUUUUUGCAUUUUUAUUUUUCUUGCUUGGCUAGGUGACUAGAUUGAGUAACAACAAAAU
rnacentral:lncRNA from 1 species